rfam:Brassica napus, WGS project CCCW01000000 data, contig: 14395
AAGGCAUGAUGAGGAUUGUUUAUUGUCAUCUGAUUCAUUAUAUGAUGAAUCAAAACCUCCUACUCAUUCUGA